UACGGGGGGGGCAAGCGUUGUUCGGAAUUACUGGGCGUAAAGGGCUCGUAGGUGGCCAACUAAGUCAGACGUGAAAUCCCUCAGCUUAACUGGGGAACUGCGUCUGAUACUGGAUGGCUUGAGAUUGGGAGAGGGAUGCGGAAUUCCAGGUGUAGCGGUGAAAUGCGUAGAUAUCGGAAGGAACAUCAGUGGCGAAAGCGACUUCCUGGACCAAUACUGACGCUCAUGUGCGAAAGCGUGGGGAGCAAACAGG
rnacentral:rRNA from 1 species